rnacentral:tRNA from 1 species
GCCGUAGUAGCACAAUUGGCAGUGCAACUGUCUUGUAAACAGUAGGUUGUCGGUUCGACUCCGACCUAUGGCU